rnacentral:lncRNA from 1 species
GCGAUUGAAAACCACAUUCAAGAUGUCGGCUUCCGGUUUUCCCCGGCAGCGUCCUGCGUGGCUACCGGAGCCACGCCCACUUCCGGUUUCUUUGCUCCAGCAUGGCUGCCUUAGGGACCUGGCUAUCCAGUGAGUGAUUGUGAGGUUGGGAACCCGGGGGCCGCGGGGCAACAGACCUCUAACUCGCUACUCUUCCAGCAAGGGCUGGCUGCCAAUCCUUCCGGCUAUGGGCCCCUCACGGAGCUUCCUGACUGGUCUUUCGCGGAUGGCCGCCCUGCUCCCCCAAUGAAAGGCCAACUUCGAAGAGAAGCUCAAAGGGAGAAGCUUGCAAGACGAGUUGUGCUGCUGACACAGGAAAUGGAUGCAGGAUUACAGGCAUGGAAGCUCAGGCAGCAGAAACUGCAGGAAGAAAGGAAGCAGAAACAUGACCUUAAACCUAAAGGGACGUCACUGAGGAACCCACUUCCAAAUCAAUAAAAAGCUCCUGUCCCACUUUCCCAGCCUCUCUGGCUUCCUUUUCUACAUCUGAAUAUUUGUUUGUUUGUUUGUUUUCUUUUUUCUUUUUUUCGGAGCUGGGGACCGAACCCAGGCCCUUGCGCUUCCUAGGCAAGCGCUCUACCACUGAGCUAAAUCCCCAACCCCACAUCUGAAUGUUUUAUCCCUGGUAGACCGAAGUCAUUUUUCUCCCGCCAUUUGUAUUGAUAGCAAAAGACCUCAGGCACCGGGAGGAACUUAAAACCACUGCCUGCCAGGCUUGGCAAAAUGCUUUAGUCCUCGCUCCGUUCCAGUUCAGCCAGAUCUUGCUCUGGAAUUAUUUCGCCCCUGGUGCUGAAGAACGCGCCCAGAGCCUUACAAAAGCUAAGCUCGCCACCACCCUCCCACUUAGCAUGCUUGGGAUUUUAAUCCUCUUCCUUGCUGGUCCGAGGGCUAACCCAGCUAAGAGCAGCAACUGCUCUGUGAGAGAAGAUAAGGGGCAGCAGCAGCUUUCCUGGUUUUCCCCCUCAUGCCUCUGUCACUCACAGCCCAUACACAGCUCAGAUGCUUACAGUUGGCACUCAAUAAAUGUUCUGUUGAAAAGGCUUCCAUCUGAAGCUCCUUUUUCUUUUUGCGACACGGUCUCAUGAUAGCUUUGGCUGUCCUGAAACUGGCCAGGUAGACCAAGCUGCUUUGCAAUCACAAAGAUCCUCCUGCCUCUGUCUGGAUUUUUUUUUUUUUUUCUCAGAGCUGGGGACCGAACCCGGGGCCUUGUGCUUCCUAGGCAAGCGCUUUACCACUGAGCUAAAUCCCGAACCCCCUCUGUCUGGAUUUUAAAGCCAUGUGCCACCACCACACCUGGCAGAGAGAAGUCCCUUUCUUAACAAGCAGCUAGUAUCCAGGUACAUGGUCCAAGAGACACCCACACUGGAAGGCUAACAGGAAGGAUUAAACUCAGGGUCUUCUGCAGAAGGAGUUGUGAUCAGACUAAAUACUAGAGGCCGAAGAGGGCCCUGUACCUCACCCCCACCCCCACACAAUGUCCCUGCCCAUGACCUAGCAACCAUUCAUUUUAUUGAUCAUGAGCCCUCCCCUAGAUUCUGGAGGCAAGGACCUUUGUUCCCGUUCCAGUGCUCAAUGUUUGGCUUCCAACUUUCCACCACUAAGCUAGUACUCGUGGAUUCCUGGAGCUUCCUACCUGGCCUUAUCCCUCCCCUCCGCCCUUACCCCUUCCCUUGCUUUCCUUCCCUCUCCCACUGCCUUCCUCUCGCUGAC